GGGAAGCAACCCAGCCUCAGUGUUAUAUUGCAAGUCGAGGGGGAGGGUUGUGUGCAAAUCCGCUCCGAUGCGAAUCUAUUUGACCUGUGUCCGUGACCUUGCAUGGUGUCCGUGGCGAUAAAUAGGUGUGUUCUAGUGACCUUAAGGUGCGGAGAGGCGCGAAAGGCGUUAUGGAUACGGAAUUAAGGAAAUACUGGGGACAAAACACCAGACACAUAGGAGUUCCAUUACCCUUAUGAUGCAGCCAAGGGGACUGACGCCACCACCACCACCACCACCACCACCACCACCGCCACAACAAGGGUUAUUCAAGUGGGGAACAUGCUUCAGGUGUUGCCCCAAGAUGCCUCAGCCCCGCAGCCCCACUCCGCCAUGAUAGUGCAGGCAGGGAAUGUCAUACAGAUUGUUCCAGCUGACAACAUGCAGGUGUUAGGGGCAGAAGUUGUUGGAGUUGGUGGGAUCAUGCAAGUGGUCGGGGUCCCAGGCUCUCCCAAACCAGCUCCCCAUCUGUGCCUAUGCAGUGUUUGGCCAGCCACUAGAGGCCACGUCAGAGGUGCCUGUGGUGGGGUCGCCAGUUCCGGAGUACGAGGUGGAGGAGGAAGAGGAAGAGGAGGACGAGGAGGAGGCACGGAUGAGGAAGAAGAAAAGAUCAUUAGCUGUAGCUCUCCCUCCAGCUGAUAAGGGGAUAUUAAUGAGGCCUUCCUACAGGUACUCUCCCAGCCGUGUCACAGCUGAUGAUGAUGAUGAUGAUGAUGAUGCCAUGCCCACCCCCAGCCUGAGCCACCCUCCACCCACCCCAGCCCUCACCAAGCCUCCUUCAGUACCCCUCCACACCACCACCACCACCACCAGCGACGCAACAGCCUCAUCUACCUCAGCCGGCCCACCCCCUGGCCCGACCCCCUCCCUGACAGUGGCCCCCCCACGGCAGGCAAGAAGAAGAAGGAGGAGAAAGUAUCAAUAAUCGUACAGAUUCGCGACGAGGAAUCCAGACUGAAACAGGCGCUGGGUUUAAAGAACAUAAUUUUCAACCCUUACGGUCCUGGCCUGGCCCCGAUUACCAAGCUGCUGGACACCCCUGAGGAGCUGAAGCGUUUUGAGCUCAAGGGCUGCACCAUGAAGGUCCGGCCGGAGGAGAACGAGGCUCGGCUGAACAGAAACAAAGAACGGGGGCGCAGGGACAGGCCGGAGAGGGUCGACAGAAUGGACCGCCCCAGGGCAAAGGAGAAGGACAGACGCACGGACGCACAGGCCACGCAGGUCCGCUCCAUCCACCCACCCGUGCACAGAAAUGCUGGUAUCUCCACGUUGACAACUGGCCAGAGGAAGUAAGGACAGUACCUUGUGUCCCUGCCUCUGCUACCCCACCCCCUGCCCCGCCCCCUGCCCCAGCCCCCGCACACAAGUCGGCCAAGUCCAAGUGGGACUCUGACACAGAAGAGCAAGUGGACGGACAGAAGUGAGGGGAGAGAGAGAGGAGGAAGAGAAGGAGGAGAGGAAGGAAAAUAAAAAUAUAAUCAAGAAUUUGGAGGAAGAGGAAGACCAGGAGGUACAGGUGAAGGAAGAGGAGGAAGAGGAAUAGACUAUCCCAGAGAAGAUGAAGGAAGAGGAGGAAGAGGAGGAGGAGGAGGAGGAGGAAGAGAAGGAAGAGUGAGGCAAAGGUCUUCCCCGAUUGUUUGACCGAAGAAUACGAAGCUUUCCUUAUGAUGGUGGAUGGAGGAGGAGGAGGAGGAGGAGGAGGAGGAGGAGGAGGAGAGAAGAAAGAGGAGGAAGAGGAAGAGGAGGAGGAGGAAGGAAGAUGCAAGAGAGAGGUCACAUCACUAUAUAAAGAAGAGGAGGAAGACUACAUGAAAAUUGAAGAAGAGGAGGAGGAAAGAAGAAGAAAGAGGAUGAGAGAGGAGGAGGAGGAAGAGGAAGAGGAGAAGAAAGAACAGAAGACCCUGGAGAAGAUGAAGAAGAAGAGGAAGAAGCAAAUGAAGGAGAAGAGGAGGCAGAAGAAACUGGAAAAGAAGGCAAAGAAGAAGAGGAAGGAGAAAGAGAGGAAGAGGGUCAAGAGGAGGAGGAAGAGCAGUGAUAGUUCAGUACAAAUGGAGGAGGAGGAGAAGGAGGAGAGAAGACUUACAAGAGAUAAGAGGAAGAGGAAAUAAGAAUGGACUGCAAUAAGUGGCAGAGAGGAGGAGGAGGAGGACGAUAAACGCAUCACCUCGAGGAAGAAGGAGGAGGAGGAGGAGGAGGAAGAGGAAGAGGAACAAGAAGAGGGUAGAAGAUUCAGCAGACACUCGGAUAAUGGUGAAAGCCCCUCUUAUACUCCACCAAGAAGACUGCAAGAACAGGAGAAGGAAGAGGAGGAAGAGGAAGAAGAGGAGGAGGAAGAGGAGCCACUUUCCCCAGUGGCUCGGUUGGGAUCGAUAGCAAGGAGUCACCAAGGGAGUCAUCGCCAAAACGGGGCAGAACCGGGGCAUUCCGGGUCACCUCAGGGUCAGGGAGGAGCUACCCGGCCAGCGACACGUCUGGGUACUAUGACUUGACCCCGGACUCCUCCAGCGGGGCAUCCGGGGCAAAGACAUUCAAUUUAGAGGAUAUUCCGUACCCUACCAGAGAGAGUGAGAGGCACAGCCCCUCCAACAUGUCCCUCUCCUCCUCCUCCUCUGCCCCACCCACCCCGCCCUGCCCCCCCACCCCAGACACCCUGGAUGCCAUCCCCAUUCCCCCACCCACCCUGGACCUCACCAACAUCCCCAUGCCGCCCGUCACCUUCACCAUCACCCCGCCAGUCCCCAUCCCCAGGCCCAAGAAGGACCCCCUGCCAAGACCCAAGCCCCCGGUCCCCCUUCCUCCCAUGGCAGCUGCCCCACUGCUCCCCUUAUCCGUCCCCUUGCCCUGCCCCACGCCUGCCCACAGGGAGGAGUCCCUACCAGCCUCGCCGCCCCGGGAGGUGCCCCCCAUCGGAGGGGCGCCGGUGUCCCCCGGGGGACAUGACAGCGACGACGACGAGCCCCCGUCCUGCAUCCCCCGGCCCCCGAGCCCCGCCCCACCCACCACCAGCCACACCACCAUAUAGUGUGGUUACAUUAUUGUCAUCAUGAUCAGGCCGCCGCGGGCCGUGGCGCGGCCUUCACCCUGCUCAUGACACAUGAAUCCACGCCGGCCGGGACCUUACGCCUUCGAUGUAUUACUCCCGCAGCCCAGCCCGCCCCUACCACCACAGCCCGCACACCCUAGAGCGCCCCCCACAUGCUGGCCUCUUCCCUGCUUCACGGCCAGGCCAGAUUGCUACUCAGUGCGUGGCGUGGCGGCCUCAGGGCGUGGCAGCCGCCACACCCCCGAGGGGCUCCUCGCCCCCAGACCACUGCCACGGCCCACACACCCCAGAGCGCCCCCACAUGCUGGCGGCUUCCCUGCUUCACCGCCAGGCCAGAUGGCUACUCAGGGUGUGGCGGCUGCCACACCCCCGAGGGCUCCCCGCCCCCAGACCACUGCCAGUACCACAGCCCCGUGGUGCAGUACCACAGCAGCAUCAGUCCUCCCUUCUCCCGCAGCCCCCCGUGGAGCCCCGAUGGGGGGCGCCGCGCCAGCCCCACAGGGUGGCGCAGUCCAUGCUACCAGCACCACCACCACCACCACUACACUGCCCCACCCCGCGACCGCUGGAGCCCCCAGCGCUCCCCACGCUGUGUUACCCUCUCUCUGUUACCCUCUCCCCGGGGCGCCGCUCAUCACCCCCAGACCGCCGUGCCUCCCCGGAGCGGGGCCGCUCACCACCCAGCCGCUCCCCACGCUACUCCCCGCGCCAUUCCCAUUCCCGGGGGGCUGAGGUCCCCCUGCCGCUCCCCCUCCCCACUGGGUGAGGUGUACCCCUACGAGCGGCGGGGCUGGGGCUGCGCAGCCAGGGAGUGGGAGGCUCUCACCACCACCAUCACAGCCCCAAGGCAGAGCAGAGAAAUAGGGAGGGCAAGGGCUAUGGGUACUCUCCCCUGCGGCAGUAUUUGAUGACGACCUCCGGAUCAUGAGCGAGGCAGAGAUGUUCUCCAUGGGGUUCCACAAGGGGGAGAACAGCGAGUCCCCCCACCACCCCCCCCGCUCCCCCUCCCCCAAAACCCUCGAUGCCAAGUCUGUGGGUACUCUCCCAGCCGUGUCACAGCUGAUGAUGAUGAUGCCACCCCCCAGCCUGAGCCACCCUCCACCCACCCCAGCCCUCACCAAGCCUCCUCCAGUAACCACCACCACCACCACCACCACCAGCGACGUAACACCCCACCCCACCCCUCCCCAGACCACAGAUCCCAGACUGUUGGAUGUGACGCCACAAGACACAGGGCUUCGUAACACCAGUGCACGGUGAUCAAGACAACACUGGACCAGAAAGACGCAAAGUACAGGGAACAACACAGUGCUUCUUCAUUUUAGGUGAGCCAGAAUGAGCUUGUUAAACUGAGCGGCCUCUUCAAGUACCACUGGAACUGUUCGUCAGAGGAGGAGGAGGAGGAGGUAAGGGAGUGCGCCAAGACCCUUUACAGCGGUGCAAAGGAGUGGAGGGAGAUGAGGAGAAAUUUGAAAGAGAACAGAAGUAGAAUGACAUCAGAUAGCAGGAGUCCUUAGGAUUUAGCACAAUAAGAUCAAUAAUUCUCUUACAUGAGUGACCUAAAGUAAGGCAGUUUAGUCUGGCCUAACUUAACUGACCUACCUAUUUCUGUUAUGAGCUAGGAUAGGCUAUGUUAGGUUAUAUUAAAUUAUAUAAUUAUUAUUUUUUUCAUCAUUAUUAUUAAAGAAAGGAAAUAGAACCGAGAAAAUAAAGUUAAAAAUUAUUGUUA